CCUACGGGUGGCAGCAGUGAGGAAUAUUGGUCAAUGGGCGCGAGCCUGAACCAGCCAAGUAGCGUGAAGGAUGAAUGCCCUACGGGUGGUAAACUUCUGUUAUAAAGGAAUAAAGUGAGGCACGUGUGCCGUUUUGUAUGUACGUUAUGAAUAAGGAUCGGCUAACUCCGUGCCAGCAGCCGCUGUAAUACGGAGGAUCCGAGCGUUAUACGGAUUUAUGGGGUUUAAAGGGAGAGUAGAUGGGUUGUUAAGUCAGUUGUGAAAGUUUGCGGCUCAACCGUAAAAUUGCACUUGAUACUGGCAGUCUUGAGUACAGUUGCGGUAGGCGGAAUUCGUGGUGUAGCGG
rnacentral:rRNA from 1 species